AAACCGUUGAAAGGGAAGCGAAUGGAGUURGCAAUUCGCCCUGCCAGAUUCAGUUUUUCGCACUUCGGGACGUGCACGCUCUCGAUCCGCAUGGACGAAGACAUACACGGACGCAACGUGUAGGCGGCGCACUUCUGGCGGGCGAGCGUCAGCGUCGGUCGUCGACGGGCGACAAGGUCGCGAGGAAGGUAGACGUGCCUUCGGGCGCGUUGUUAAGACUCGCGUUCGCAUGGCUCGACGACGACCGUGGCUCCUUCAUGCGGAGGCGACGCGUGCCUGGCUGGCGACUCGUGCGAUCGGUCCGGCAUGUCGACCGUGGCGGACGGCACGCCUGUGCGCUCGAACUGCUGCCGGUCGCUCGCACGAUGUUCGCACACUACGCGUCGAAGACGCUGACGACCAUACGGCUCCAUCCGACCCGUCUUGAAACACGGACCAAGGAGUCUAACAUGUGCGCGAGUCUCCGGGUGAUCG
rnacentral:rRNA from 1 species